GGGCACUUGGUGUAGUGGAACACACGCGGAUUUAUAUGUAGAAGCGACCACCGUACGGCGUAAGCACGAGCGGUGAGAACCAGCAUGCGCCACGAGUCGGGAGUUCGAACCUCCCAGCGUCCU